GAGGUGGUUGAGAACCAUUGACGUAGACUGACUUAGCAGAUCUUCAAAUGUGAAUAGGGAAUCCUGCCAUUCCACUGAUGAGAACAGCAUGCUUAGGAUAUUGCUUCUGAGAAGAGAGGCAUCCUGUUGUAUGUAGUGGCCACAUAACAGACUGCAAAGAACUGGAACGCAGAGUAAUUUUAAUCCAAAAUGUUCAAAGGAUGAACAAAACUGCAAUAAAGCAGAGUAAGUAAACACAAAGAGUGGCCAAGAUGGCCAACUAAAAGCAGAUAGGAUGCGUGGCUCUCACAGAGAGGAAAGGAAGGAAGGGGCAAGUAAAUACAGCACUGCCAACUGACACAUCCAGACAGUCAACACUGGGACUAAUCAAGGAAACAACUCGACCCACAGAGAAUGGAGAAGAGCAAGGCAGGACGACGGCCCAUCUGGGAGCAGAAUGUGGAGCCAAGGGAACCUCCCUUGCCAAGGACCAAGACAAGUGGCAAGCCAUAUGAUGACUGACCAGAAACAUUAGAAAGAAUGGAAGAUGGUUUCCUGAAGCUUCGCUACUCUGGAGGUGGAAUGAAUUGUGCCAAAUGUCAACUUCUAUGGCUCAAUGAGCCCUUUCCUGAGCCUGUCAACAGUGAACUAAAGAAAUACAAUCUCUGUUUCUCCAGUCAACGGUAGAACAGUGCUUGCACUCCCGAUAUUUAUGGAUAUAUUUAUACAAUUCUCACAAACCUGACACCAAUGGCCUGGGAUCAAUGUAGACAAGUGGUAAAGAAAAACAGAAUGAUUCUCUGAAAGGAUGCAUAUUAAAAAAAAUAAAAGAUUUGUGUUCUGAAUGGCUUGUUUUGAGAAAAAGAUAUGCUUCAACUGAGAUCUACAUGAUGUAGCAAAUAAAAACAGGUAUGAAAAUCCCUUGAACUAAAUUUCACUGGAUUAACACGUCCGAUCAAUUCUCAUUAAUCACAACAGUUAUGUUUUAUCAAGGCACUUCGAAUGCUGGAAUCACGGGUACUAAGUCCUUUUUCCUUUGAGCCACUGCUCCUAGGGGAAACAUAGGCUUAGGUUUCUGUGAGCCUCUGGUCAUGACAUUUUUGUCAACUGAUCAAUACAUAACUUUGUUUUAUGUGUGUUUCUGUUUAAAGAUACCUUAUUUAAUAAAUAGUAUUGAUUUAUUAAUAUUGAUCUCAUAGCCAACAGGACUGUACCUCAUGUUUGAUGAAGCUUAUCUAACACAUAUUUUUCUCUAUAAGGCACAUGUCAGCCUUCUUGUGCUUAAAAACACUAGACAGCACUUCAGGACUAUAGUUGGGGGCCAUUUUAAACAGCAAAAUCAAAGGACAAAAGUGCAAAAAAUGUGGCAAUCAAUAGACCAUGAAGAAAGAUGCUUGUUUACAAGAAGAGCUGAAACAAAGUGGCAGAACAUCACCUGGUUCCACCUCAGCUGGGAGUGUGUAUGUUGGAUGACUCCAAUUUCUUACUGCUCUACACAUGUCCAUAAAUAAAUGUGUAAACACA
rnacentral:lncRNA from 10 species